UUAAAUUGAAGAGUUUGAUCAUGGCUCAGAUUGAACGCUGGCGGCAGGCCUAACACAUGCAAGUCGAACGGUAACAGGAAGCAGCUUGCUGCUUUGCUGACGAGUGGCGGACGGGUGAGUAAUGUCUGGGAAACUGCCCGAUGGAGGGGGAUAACUACUGGAAACGGUAGCUAAUACCGCAUAACGUCGCAAGACCAAAGAGGGGGACCUUAGGGCCUCUUGCCAUCGGAUGUGCCCAGAUGGGAUUAGCUAGUAGGUGGGGUAACGGCUCACCUAGGCGACGAUCCCUAGCUGGUCUGAGAGGAUGACCAGCCACACUGGAACUGAGACACGGUCCAGACUCCUACGGGAGGCAGCAGUGGGGMAUAUUGCAAAUGGGCGCAAGCCUGAUGCAGCCAUGCCGCGUGUAUGAAGAAGGCCUUCGGGUUGUAAAGUACUUUCAGCGGGGAGGAAGGGAGUAAAGUUAAU
rnacentral:rRNA from 1 species